rnacentral:rRNA from 1 species
UGGGGAAUUUUGGACAAUGGGGGAAACCCUGAUCCAGCAAUGCCGCGUGCAGGAUGAAGGCCUUCGGGUUGUAAACUGCUUUUGUACGGAACGAAAAGUCUUGGGCUAAUACACUGGGAUAAUGACGGUACCGUAAGAAUAAGCACCGGCUAACUACGUGCCAGCAGCCGCGGUAAUACGUAGGGUGCAAGCGUUAAUCGGAAUUACUGGGCGUAAAGCGUGCGCAGGCGGUUUUGUAAGACAGGUGUGAAAGCCCCGGGCUCAACCUGUGAACUG